UACGAAGGGGGCUAGCGUUGCUCGGAAUCACUGGGCGUAAAGCGCACGUAGGCGGACUCUUAAGUCGGUGGUGAAAUCCUGGAGCUCAACUCCAGAACUGCCUUCGAUACUGGGAGUCUCGAGUUCGGGAGAGGUGAGUGGAACUGCGAGUGUAGAGGUGAAAUUCGUAGAUAUUCGCAAGAACACCAGUGGCGAAGGCGGCUCACUGGCCCGAUACUGACGCUGAGGUGCGAAAGCCAGGGGAGCAAACGGG
rnacentral:rRNA from 1 species